rnacentral:misc_RNA from 1 species
GGGUAACACGAUAUAUUAGAAAAUGAUACAAUACAAUCCUCACUCAUAUUUACUGAAAUUAUUUUUUAUACAUUUUUCAAGUAACAUGGAACAUAUUUAUAACAGAAAAUAACAAAAUUCCAUUAAACAAUCAGGUUGCUUUUUUUCUUUCCCCCAACAAAUUUGAUUGUUCACACAGAAUUCAAAUUUGUCUCAUGUAAAUUAUUGACGAAAGAAACUAGCAUUUCAACAAUCUAAUCUAAUCGAAAAGCUUUGAGGAGCUAUCCUUUCACCUUAAAAGACCCGAGUAGCAGCAGCACAACAGCAGGUCCCUAUGAUGGUUAAGGAAUACAUAAAUUAAUUUAGAAGCAAAUUGGGUAACCACCUUUCGUGUAAUAGCCUUGCAAUCAGAGAAAGUGUGUUCAAACCACAUGGCCGAGUUAAGUAGAAAGCUAGCAGAGUCGUCUUAAAGCCGCUGCCGUUUUGUGACACUACCAUGCUGCCGACAAUGGUGAUGGUUUUGCACAGUCGAGCAACAUAUAUCAGGCACAAAUUCCCCAUUAUCAGAUUGAUUAUGAACGCGUUUUGGCCAAUAUAGCCCCGAGGCUGUAGGUGGAGAAGGGAUCUGUGGCACUGCCCAGGAGCUGUCAGGCACCUGACCCAGGCACUCAUCAUCAUCAUCUACUUCUUCCUCGGCUGAUCUUAAGAUUGCAGAGCUGUCAGAGUCACUACGCUUGCCGCUAUCAGCCUUAGAUGAUCCAUUAUUCAUGUAGCUAUAGUUUUGACUAAAGCCAGUUAAGCCAAGAAAUUCAUCCAUCUGCCACUGUGGGAUGCCUCCAGCUGCAGAACCACCAGAGAAUGAUACUUUAACAGGUUCAAACUCCUGUCCAACAACCUGUGCAGGCAAAACUUCAUUGCUCGGACUAGCCAAUGGCAUUGGAGUUCCUCUUCUAGAAACAUAAUGGGAUUUUGUUUCAGAUGUUUUUUCACCCGAAGGUGACUUCCCCGAAGAAGAGGAUGCACCAGGGUCAGUAGGUUCUAGACCAACUUUUACUCCGGUUAAAAGAAAUCUCUGAUGAGCAGACACAUAGGCAUUUGCAGUGUGAAUAGCAACAUCACAUUUUCUGCAGAGCAAAGCUCGAUCUUCUAGACAAAAGAAAAAGCCAGCUGUCUCCUGUAUCAAAAGAGUGAUUUGCAUCAUCACUUGUCAAUCCACAAAGAGAAAGUUCAACAGAUCAUACACCAAUAGACUCAAGAUGGUUCAGGCAAUAACAACAUUUCUAUGGGCAUAUACGCUGACAACUGCACUAGCAAGGCAUAGCUAAAUACUCUAGCCAGCUUCGUUGUAAGCUGAUACUUUCUCCAACAUCGUUAAGUUACAUCUUGUUGAAGCCAAUGUUAUUGAAGCAACUAUAAUUUACCACUAAGUGCCCUGGAAAAGAAAAUAUAAUUUCUCUCUGGCAAUAGAAGUAAAGAAAUAUGACUUCACUAUUUUGUUUAUUUAUUUUAAUUUUGAGGGGGUGGGGAGUGAUGCUGAAUUAUGAAGACGUUAAAUUAAAUUUUCCUUCACUUUUAUGAUAAAUUAAAUUUUCCUUCACUUUUA